rnacentral:rRNA from 1 species
UACGUAGGGUGCAAGCGUUGUUCGGAAUUACUGGGCGUAAAGCGCACGCAGGCGGCUUUGUAAGUUAGAGGUGAAAGCCCGGGGCUCAACUCCGGAAUUGCCUUUAAGACUGCAUCGCUAGAAUUGUGGAGAGGUAAGUGGAAUUCCGAGUGUAGAGGUGAAAUUCGUAGAUAUUCGGAAGAACACCAGUGGCGAAGGCGACUUACUGGACACAUAUUGACGCUGAGGUGCGAAAGCGUGGGGAGCAAACAGG